GGGUUGGUGGUGUAGUGGUAACGCAUGCCCGCGGCACACGUCGCUCCGCCGGCAAGUCCCAGGUUCAAGUCCUGGCCGACCUA